UACGUAGGGGGCAAGCGUUGUCCGGAUUUACUGGGCGUAAAGAGCGCGUAGGCGGAAGCUUAAGUGUGGCCUGAAAGCCCCCGGCUCAACCGGGGAAGGUGGCUGCAAACUGGGCUUCUUGAGGGCGAUAGAGGAGAGCGGAAUUCCUGGUGUAGCGGUGAAAUGCGUAGAUAUCAGGAGGAACACCGGUGGCGAAGGCGGCCCUCUGGACGGUGACUGACGCUGAGACGCGAAAGCGUGGGGAGCAAACAGG
rnacentral:rRNA from 1 species